rnacentral:rRNA from 1 species
GACGAACGCUGGCGGCGUGCCUAAUACAUGCAAGUAGGACGCAGUUGCGAACGGGUGAGUAACGCGUAGGUCACUGCCUAUUAGCGGGGGAUAACUAUUGGAAACGAUAGCUAAUACCGCAUACUAGUAGAUGGACCUGCGUUGUAUUAGCUAGUAGGUAGGGUAAUGGCCUACCUAGGCGACGAUACAUAGCCGACCUGAGAGGGAGGUCGGCCACACGGGGACGUAGGCACGACCCAGAAUCCUACGGGAGGCAGCAGAAGGGAAACGUAGGCAAUGGGGGGAACCCUGACCGAGCAACGACGCGUGAGUGAAGAAGGUGUUCGGAUCGUAAAGCUCUGUUGUUAAGGAAGCGGUACUUAACCAGAAAGGGACGGCUAACUACGUGCCAGCAGCCGCGGUAAUAC